AACGAACGCUGGCGGCAUGCCUAACACAUGCAAGUCGAACGAGACCUUCGGGUCUAGUGGCGCACGGGUGCGUAACGCGUGGGAACCUGCCCUUAGGUUCGGAAUAACUCCCCGAAAGGGGUGCUAAUACCGGAUAAUGUCUUCGGACCAAAGAUUUAUCGCCUUUGGAUGGGCCCGCGUUGGAUUAGCUAGUUGGUAGGGUAAAAGCCUACCAAGGCGACGAUCCAUAGCUGGUCUGAGAGGAUGAUCAGCCACACUGGGACUGAGACACGGCCCAGACUCCUACGGGAAGCAGAAGUGGGGAAUAUUGGACAAUGGGCGAAAGCCUGAGCCAGCAAUGCCGCGUGAGUGAUGAAGGCCUUAGGGUUGUAAAGCUCUUUUACCCGGGAUGAUAAUGACAGUACCGGGAGAAUAAGCUCCGGCUAACUCCGUG
rnacentral:rRNA from 1 species